AGGACCAAGAACGCCGGACUCCCCUCCAUGCUGCUGCCUACAUCGGAGAUGUUGCAAUCCUCGAGCUCCUCAUCCUGUCAGGUGCUAAUGUGAACGCGAAGGACACGGUGUGGCUCACGCCGCUGCACCGCGCCGCGGCCUCUCGCCACGAGAAAGCUCUCCACCUGCUCCUGAAGCACUCGGCCGAUGUCAACGCCCGCGACAAGCACUGGCAGACGCCGCUGCACGUGGCCGCAGCCAACCGGGCCACCAAGUGCGUGGAGGCCCUGGUGCCCCUGCUGAGCACCGUCAACGUGGCCGACCGCACCGGGCGCACGGCGCUGCACCACGCCGUGCACAGCGGCCACCUCGAGGUGCACCGGGAGCGUGGGG